rnacentral:rRNA from 1 species
GACAGAGGUGCCGAGCGUUAGGCGGAAUCACUGGGCUUAAAGCGUGUGUAGGCGGGUCGGUAAGUGUCUUGUGAAAUCCCACCGCUCAACGGUGGAACUGCUGGGCAUACUGGCGAUCUUGAGCCACCUAGGGGCAGACGGAACAAGCGGUGGAGCGGUGAAGUGCGUAGAUAUCGCUUGGAACGCCGACGGUGAAAACAGUCUGCUGGGGGUGUGCUGACGCUGAGACACGAAAGCCAGGGGAGCGAACGGG